AGAUAAGAAAAGCCAGCCAUACGUCCUUGCCCGGCCAGAGAGCCAAAGCCUGCGCCCCCGACGGGGCGGCCGGGCUAGGAGCCUACCGCCCUACCCGCCUCCCUCCGGGCGCCCCGGAAAGGUGUGAGCACCCAACUGGAUUGAUGUCUGCCGCCUGAAAUACACUUGAUCUGCGCUUCGGAAGCCAAGCCCCGCACCCUGCAACACCGCAGUUCCCGCCCUCUUGGGAGCCCGAGCGGGGAGGCGGCAGGGUGCUGGAUCACAGUCCCUGCACCUGCAGAAUGCGGGUACCUCUCGCUCCAGAUCAGGCGACUGCCCCCGACCUGUGCUGUAUCCUAAGUUGGCCCGUCUGGCCUCUGCUCCAGCCCUCUUAUUUUGGGAAACAGGAGCUACUUAAAUAAAAGCUAAAGGGACCUCA